rnacentral:rRNA from 1 species
GACGAACGCUGGCGGCGUGCCUAAUACAUGCAAGUCGAACGCAGUGGGGACGGGUGAGUAACACGUGGGUAACCUCCCAUCAGAGGGGAUACCACUUGGAAACAGGUGCUAAACCGAUACUGAUGGAUGGUACCGCGGUGCAUUAGCCAGUUGGUGAGGUAACGGGUCACCAAGGCCACGAUGCAUAGCUGACCGGAGAGGUUGAGCGGCCACACGGGGACCGAGACACGGCCCAGACGCCUACGCGAGGCAGCAGGAGGGAAGCGUCGGCAAUGGACGAAAGUCUGACCGAGCAACGCCGCGUGGGUGAAGAAGGUUUUCGGAUCGUAAAACUCUGUUGUUAGAGAAGCGGUAGCUAACCAGAAAGCCACGGCUAACUACGUGCCAGCAGCCGCGGUAAUAC